rnacentral:rRNA from 1 species
CGUAACAAGGUCUCCGUAGGUGAACCUGCGGAGGGACCAUUACACAAAUAUGAAGGCGGGCUGGAACCUCUCGGGGUUACAGCCUUGCUGAAUUAUUCACCCUUGUCUUUUGCGUACUUCUUGUUUCCUUGGUGGGUUCGCCCACCACUAGGACAAACAUAAACCUUUUGUAAUUGCAAUCAGCGUCAGUAACAAAUUAAUAAUUACAACUUUCAACAACGGAUCUCUUGGUUCUGGCAUCGAUGAAGAACGCAGCGAAAUGCGAUAAGUAGUGUGAAUUGCAGAAUUCAGUGAAUCAUCGAAUCUUUGAACGCACAUUGCGCCCUUUGGUAUUCCAAAGGGCAUGCCUGUUCGAGCGUCAUUUGUACCCUCAAGCUUUGCUUGGUGUUGGGCGUCUUGUCUCUAGCUUUGCUGGAGACUCGCCUUAAAGUAAUUGGCAGCCGGCCUACUGGUUUCGGAGCGCAGCACAAGUCGCACUCUCUAUCAGCAAAGGUCUAGCAUCCAUUAAGCCUUUUUUUCAACUUUUGACCUCGGAUCAGGUAGGGAUACCCGCUGAACUUAAGCAUAUCA